UGCAGUCCAAAACUUAUACGUGAACCAUCGAAUUGUUGAACGCAUUGCAUCGAUCCUUACCCAGGAACGAUAUGCCCCAUUGAGCGUCAUUAAGUCUUCGCGACCUCAACCUUUGUGUUGUUGUCCGGGUUCGGGAUUCACGGCCUUCACAGGUCGCGCUUCCUUAGAUUCAUUGCCGUGCAGGAUCAAACACUGAGCAUCCUUGUCAUAAAUGUCGAGGUCGCCAUAGAUGUAUGCUUGCACAAGAUCAGGUCCUUGACCGGCCAGAUCAAAACCGCGAAUCCUUACGGACAAGCGACUUUACUACAUGACCUCACGGGGGCAGGAUGACCCGCAAGACUUAAGCAUAUUAAUCAGCGGAGGAAAAGAAACUAACUAGGAUUCCCCCAGUAACUGCGAGUGAAGAGGGAAGAGCUCAAUGUGUGAAUCAGGCCGGGAUUAGCUCCUUGUUCGAGUUGUGCACUAUAGACGGCGGAUCAGCGUUUGGAAGCCUGUGGUGUAUGUCCGAUGAAACUCGGUGCCAUAGAGGGUCACAGUCCUGUACUUGCCUAAGGCUUCUGCGCAUUUGACCGACGCUUUUCGAGGCGCGUAGUUUUGUAUUGCUGCCCUAAUUGGGAGGUAGAGCCCUUCUAAAGCUAAAUAUGAUGGCAUGACCGAUAGCACACCAAGUAUCCGCGAGGGAAAGGUGAAAAGCACACCACGCAGAAUGGGUUGAAACAGCAGUGAAAGCGUUAUCUGGGAUAAGGGUUGGGGAUUGCUUGUGCCGAUUGCGCGUGCUUCAGUGCUGCGCUGCCGGACCGCACGCAUCGCAUGCGGAACGGGGAGAACCGGUUCCUUGGGAAUUCGGCCUGGAUCCGUCCCAGUGUUGUA
rnacentral:rRNA from 1 species